rnacentral:snRNA from 1 species
UUGCUUGCUUUGGCAACACAUAUACUAAAACUGGAAUACAGAGAAGAUUAGCAUGGCCCCUGCGCAGGAUGACAUGCAGAUUUGUGAUGCAUUCCACUUUUUU